rnacentral:lncRNA from 1 species
AAGCAUCCCUAUUUCUAGGAUGAUGCUCUUGAAAUGAUUUACACCCCCCAAACACUUAUUUCUGAGAUAGCAAAGGGUAGUAAAUCUUAGGAUUAGUUUUUCACAUAUGGGUUAACUAAUAUUCACCUAAAUCCCUCUUUCGAGGAUGACAAAGGGUUUCUAGAGCAUGGAGAUUUCACUCAUCAAACCCAUUUGGAUAUUUUGAGUUUUCACCCAUAAAAUUCUACCUCAUAAGCUCAACCAAUGGUGAAAUCCAUACGCAAUAACUAAAAGCUAUGAGAACACCACAAUACCCA